AACGAACGCUGGCGGCAGGCUUAACACAUGCAAGUCGAACGGAUCCUUCGGGAUUAGUGGCAGACGGGUGAGUAACGCGUGGGAACGUACCCUUUGCUACGGAAUAACUCAGGGAAACUUGAGCUAAUACCGUAUGUGCCCUACGGGGGAAAGAUUUAUCGGCAAAGGAUCGGCCCGCGUUGGAUUAGCUAGUUGGUGUGGUAAUGGCCUACCAAGGCGACGAUCCAUAGCUGGUCUGAGAGGAUGAUCAGCCACACUGGGACUGAGACACGGCCCAGACUCCUACGGGAGGCAGCAGUGGGGAAUAUUGGACAAUGGGCGCAAGCCUGAUCCAGCCAUGCCGCGUGAGUGAUGAAGGUCUUAGGAUUGUAAAGCUCUUUCACCGGUGAAGAUAAUGACGGUAGCCGGAGAAGAAGCCCCGGCUAACUUCGUG
rnacentral:rRNA from 1 species